GGUCGAGUGGGUUGUGUGGGGCAAGAAUCAGGAAGAAGGAGGUUGCUCUUCGUAAUCCGGCUUGUUUAUCCAACAAACAACAAAACAGGGCAGGAUUGUUCCGAGAUGCCGGAAGGCGGCCUUGAGAAAGCCCGCACUGGACAGAGAGGUCUGCUCAAGAAUGCACAGGGCCUGGGAAAGGCAGAGAGGGCUGGAAGCUGGUGUGAGAACGCAGGGAAGGGCCCGUGCUGCGGCGCUGGCUCCAGAGCGUCGAUUGUGGGCAUUUCUUCCCAGCUCUGUGGUCCAUGAGGUCACUACUCCAGGGCCCCUGCUGUCCACGUCCAUCCUCGUGUUCAUACCAACUCGUAUGUUUGCCACAUGCGUGUGACACGUGUGUGACGCGUGUGCCACUGUACAGGACCCGGAGCGCUAUUUCCAGAGGAAAACCGGUGACUUUUAACUAGAAGCCGACUUUCGACAGCAGGAGCGUGCCAUGUGCACGCGAAGAGCAGGUCCAGCUGAACAUGGUCUUCCCAGGUGAUGACAAGCAAAAGGGUGCAGUCACUCGGGAAGCCGGCCGGCCACUGUCCACUGUCACAGCAGCCAGGCAAGUGUGGUACUCAGAGCCCCGCAUGCAAACCUCGGGAUACGACGCAGGAUUUUUAAAGGCUGGAUCUGAAAGCCACUAGAUCAUGGGAUUCUAAAAACGUCUGUUCUAAAUUGUCAGCACAAUGCUCAAGGCCAACUGCUCCGUGCCAGGAAAGGGAUCCCCGGAGCACAUGGGCAGGUGCCAGAAGGGCUGAUGAAAUGCUGCAGUUUCGGGCAGUGCUUCCAGGAAACCAGUCCCAUGAGAUUGCUCCCUGUAGCGAGAUGGGCGAUGCCUGCACAAGGCCUGGGGACACUGUCCACAUCCACUGAGGAUGUGACUGGGUCCCUGGAGUGGGAAACAGCAGACCUGCCCAUCGCUGAGACCGUGUCAAACUAAGGCCCAGAGCUCUGGCCUCGUCCUUUUAGGGACAGAGAGUUGUGACUUGGUCUGGGAAGAGAAGCAGGUGGCAAGGUGGGGAGUGACAUCCCUCCCUAGAGAGGGGAAGCCCCACCCCUCCAGCCUCUGGUCCAACAGGCAGCAGUACCAGUCCUCUGAGCCGGCUGCCUCUUCUCACAUCUCUCUCCAGAGUGCGCUUGCCAGCGAAUAAAGGUUUAGAGUAAUCAGGCCCCAAAUAUGGCUUGUGAUUGAUUUACACUAAAAAAUUAUUGUCUGAAAUUCACAUUUGACUGUGCAUCCUGUGUUUUAAAAAAUUUUAUCGAUGUCAUCCUUUUUAAAAAGCAGUUGUAGGUUCACAGCAAACAGGAGCAGAACGUACAGAGAAUUCUCACAUCCCACAUACCCUCUAUCGUCCCCUCCCCAACCAGCCUCUCCCACAGCCCACACCCCUCGCCAGAGGGCUGUGUUUGUUAUAAGCCAUGAACCUACAGUGACACGUCAUCACCCGGAGUCCACAGCUGACCUCGGGGUUCACUCUUGGCGGUAUGGGCGGAUGUAUAAUGACCUGUAUCCAUCUGGAGGAGGGUCGGCCCUAAAUCCAAUGACGAGUGUCCUUAUGAGAGGAGAAGGCCCUGUGAAGAUGGAGGCAGGCUUUGGAAGGAUGUGUCUACAAGCCAAGGGAUGCCACGGCUAGCUGGCUGUCACCAGACCCUGGGAGAGAACGCUGGAACGAUUCUCCCUCAGCCUCCAGAAGGACCCCACCCUGCUGACACCUGGAUUUCAGACUCCUGGUCUCCAGAACUGAGAGAGGAUCAAUUUCUGUCGUCUGAAGCCACUCAGUUUGUGGGCAUGCGUUACGGUCACCCUAGGACACCGAAACAGGACGUGAUGAGGAAAGGGAGAUAAACACGUCAGUCAAGGUACAGCCUCCGUACAAGAGAGCCACACACGCGGCAAACCCGAAACCGUUUCUAGAGGUAGACCAGGGAAGACAACAUGUGUGCUGUUUAUCACAACAGGAAAACUAAACAACAAGGACAAGAAGGGAGAAGUGGCCACACGGCACAGAUAAAAAUGUGAGAAAUGCUAUAUUUCACAAUUUUAUCUGUUCUGCCACUCUGACUCAGUGAUCAAUGAGGAUCUGUCUUUUUUCCACCCAAAAAGAACAUGUUGCAUAAGCUCAGGCUUCCAGGGACCAGCGGAAAGCAGAAAACACCAUCUGAAGCUCUCCCCAGUCAGCUCAACGAGUGGCCCCCGUUCCCCAGACGGCGUCCGCGAAGCCGUAGAGAUGAGCUGAUGUCUGCUCACCCCGGGAGGGAGGCGGGGGCGCAGGUACUGACGGUGCCAGUUCAGGGGUUCAAGAGAAAAUGCCGGCAGGCGGCUUCAGCAAAGACUUAGAAUUUGUCGGCAUCAGUGCUCUUUCCCGGAGAAAAGCCUUCUUGGAAAUUCUGCGUUUUCUUAAGGAACACGAAGAACAUUUCCAAGGGCGUGUUAGGCCUCAGCCUUUCAGAACAACCCUGUUUGCUAAGCUUUGUGCCUCGCCCAUCUCUGCCAGUCAGCACCUGAAGGUGUCCCCAGGGCAGGGGAGGGAGGGAAUUUGAGAUCAGAGGGCCACCGUGGUGUUUGGGGACACUGGAAAUGACGGGUGGCCCUCCAUGCCCUGGACACCUGGGUCUGGGCUGUUGUCUCCUUCACAUGUGGUCCCUCCUGCUUUGCUUCAUCAGUGGCAGGACAGGGUUACCUCUGCAGCGAGCCCCACUGGGCCACGUCCACGGCAACCUUAAUAGAGAGGGGCAGCGCCAGUCUGACGGACAACCCACGUGUUCGGCAUCCAGGGACGCCACGAUGAAGUGCCCACCUCACACAGCGCUCCCUUCCCCCCGUGUCCUGAAACCCCCUCCUCUGGGGAGCCCCAGACAAUGCAUUGCUUCCUCCACGGUUCUUCCCCGAACACGCAGCCUGUGACCCUGUUACAAUACUUAGCGCACAGCCAGUGGUCCCGUCAGGAGACAGAAACCACACAGCUGUUUUAGCAGAGACAAUUUAAUAAAGAAGAAUGUAGCAGGAUUGCCAUCUGGGUAUAAAGUUAUUGGCACCUUGUUUAUAAAGGUCCUGUGAGAACCCCAAGGCAUCACGGGGUAGAACUGUAGGCAGCAGCUACCUCCUAAAGAGAAGGGGUUGGAGGGAUGAUAACGUGGAAGCCGGGAAGGGAGACCCCACGGUGCUCAACGUCUGACCUCUGGGGAGGAGACACCGGCCAGCCAAUGGGGUGGGUGUCUCUGAGGGGGACAGUGUCACUGAUUCUGCAAGUAAUGGAAGUAUGCAGACUGCAUCAACUGCGGUGUGAGAAGGAACAGCCACUGCUACAGUGAAGAAGUGUCACUGGGGAUGCUCCCAGAAACAGGGAGCAGACAGGAAGGACCCGUCCCUCCACCUCCAGCCCUGCAGCCUCCUCCGGCGUCCACUCCCGGCGGAGCCCCCCGGGGAACAGCUGGCGUGGUUUGCAGCAUCCCAGCCCCGGCUUCACAGGGCGGGCCGUGGAACUGAGGUUUGGAACCGGGAGCCCACAGCUUUAUCACUGGCACGGUCCUCUCCUUCGCUUCUCAGCUUCCAGACACACCUUUUACUCCUAUCUGAACUCCCCUGCAGAAACAGCAAGGACUUUGUGUGUCUGUCCAACAAGCUUCCCACAGCUAAUACCCUUCAUGCAGAUGAAGGCGUUCUCACCCUCUCCCCGACGUGAGGAGCUGCGGGGCCCACGCAUCUCGUGUCCAUCUUUGGGAGGUGUCACACUGCAGCUCUGGGCUCCAUCACAUACUUCCCAAAUCCAGUCACAGGCUGCACUGGUUCCCUACGGCUGCUGUUACAAAUUGCUGCAAAUUUAGUGGCUUCAGACGACACAGAUUUAUAUCUUGCAGCUCUGGAGCAGCUCAGAAGUCUGACCGGGGUCUGGCUGGGCUUAAAUUGCCAGGGCUGUGUUCCUUCUGGAGGCUCUUGGGGAAAAUGUAUUUCCAGCCUUUUCCAGCUUCUGGAGGCUGCCCCAUUUCUCGCCUCCUGGGCUCUUCCUCCAUCUUUAAAGGCAGAAAUACUCCAUCUUUCUCUCCACUCUUCUUUUCUGAAUCCCUAAGGUCUUCCCGGAGUCUGACACAGCAGGACGCUCAGUAAAUACAAGGCAGCGGAUUCUUAUAAGUGUGGCUCCGUGUGAGUCCUUCUUUUCCAGGAGAUUAUAAGCACCAGAGAACCAGGCUGUGUCUACAUCACCAAGAGGGCUGCCUCCAUCAAAUCCAGGCACGAUUGGACCUACGUGCCUGAAACAAGCAUAUCGAAGAUUAAUACGUGUUUUUCAAUUGGCUUAAAUUUUUUCGGUAAAGCAGUCAGCAUGUUAACCUCCCUUCUGUUAAAGAAAUGAUCAAGAAUUCAUACCCUCGUAAGAAUUAGUUCAUAAAUUCUCCAUCAAAGAGUAGAAUGGGAAAAGAAAGAGGGAUAGUGUGAAAGCACAAAGCAUGUUGUAGAGGGUUAAAUGGGGCCCCCACCCCAAAUAUGUCUAAAUCCUAACCCCCAUACUUGGGAACGAUGACCUUAUUUGGAAAUAGGAUUUUUGCAGAUGAAAUUAACUUCAGGGUCUCAAGAUGGGAUCGCCCUGGACUUAUGGUGGGUCCUAAAUCCAGGGAUGGGUGUCCUUAUAAUAACUGGAGAAGACACAGAGCCACGGUGGGGACGGUGACGUGAAGACAGAGGCAGAGAUUGGAGAGCUCCGUCUACCAGCCAGGGACCGCCAAGGGUCGCCGGCAACCGCCAGAAGCUGGAAGAGGCGAGGACGGAUUCACCCCUGGAGCCGCCAGCAGGAGCGCAGCCCUGCUGACACCUUAUUUGGGACUCUGGCCAGAGUUCUGGUGAGAGAAUAUGUUUCUGAUGUUGUUAAACCACCCAGUUUGUGGUUCUUUGUUACACCAGCCACAGGAAACGAAUGCACGUGCCUAGCGGGACAGUGGACCAGAUGAAAUGGCUCAAUGUGGGACCCUUCUGGGGGCCAUCAGGUAGCAGAGGGGGAAGUGAGGAGAGAGGGGCUCAGGAAGACACCAUAAAAAGGAGCAGGUGAGUGUCCCCAGGAAAUACCUACCCUUCACGAUUGUAUGCAGGGCAGUUCUUGGCGAUGGCUGACUGGCCAUCACAAGAGCCAAGGUGGACCCAGCUCUGGAUGGGGAGAGCCUGGCUCUGCGGUGGCCCCACUUUGGGCUGAGAAACUCUGUACCUAUAAGUUGGGUACAUGGUGGAACCCCUGGUCAAAGGAUGCCCGCCUCCAAGAGGAAAGGUUUUCAGGCUAAUUCAGCAGGUGAGGGUGGGCACGGGGUGGGAGACACUGCCUCUUCACGGUCUAUAGGAUCCGGUCGCUUAGGGCUCUUGGGACAGUGGAGGAAACACAAGUGUUCUCCCAGCAGGGUGGACCUCAGAAUGAAUACGCCCACAGCUUCAAAUACAGGAGAGCAGCACCUAGAAGCAUCCGGAAUGUUUUCUUUUGGUGAAGGAACAGGAAAGGAUCAGGAAAUUACAAGAAAAUGAAAGUGACACCAAAGCGGGUGGGGGAUAGAACAGUAAUCGGGGAAACGAUCACGUCCCGGGUCCCCAUUGAUCGGAAACAAUGGCCUGAGCUUCCGUGAACAAUCUGCAGCAACCCCGAGGAGAAUGGAAGUCGGGCUGUGUCGGUGGAGGACGAAUUCCAAGGAGACAACUUGACAGUUUCUGUCUGCAGACGCACGACUCCCCCGGAGAGCGAGGAGCGGGGCGGCAAUUACAGGAUUUGAACGUUGCUGCCGCAUUUGGGCACCAUGACCAACGGAAGCUUGGAGAGAAGACUUUGCCUUGGCUUCCUGGUGUGAGUAUAAAAAGUGGAGGAGAACGUGCUGGGAAGGUGCUCUGUUCUGCCGGGAGACCAUCGCCGGGCAGCCCCUGCCCACAGGCGAGUUGGGCGGCAAACACGUUUUUUUAACGUGACAACAUUUUCAACAAAAUUUUAACGUCACGUGUUGACAUGGUGCUAUGAAGCGCUGUCAUGGGAUUAAGAGGGAACUCAGAGGGCAGCCAUUGCAUGCUUGGUCCACAUCAGCAGUCACCCCGUAAGAGCCACGGAGAAGACAGCAAGUGGUGGCCCCCUUUUUACUUGUCUGCUCUCCACCUCCAAGGGCUGCAGGAUCUUGAACCUCGCGACAGAACCUUGUUCUGUGUUCUAGUAAUCUGUUACUGGGUAAGAACCACCCCCGAAAUGUAGUACCUUCAAACAGCAUCACUGAUUUUCCCUUCCAGGUGUGACUGGGGGUGAUGUGGUUGCAGCCAGCUGGUGGUUGUGCUGGGUUUUAUCAGAGGUUUCUUCCCUCGCACGGAUGGCGUUUGAUGCUGGCUGUUGGCUAGAACUCCAUCUUUCUCCAUGUGGCCUGGGCUUCCCCCCAGCAUGGCGGCUGGAUUCCGAGAGAGACGGGGAGAUGCAGGAGCUUGGUCGCCCCUGAAGAUCUAUCCUUCUGGCCUCAGAAGUCAGGCAACCCCACAUUUGCCACAUUCUGUUCGUUAAGAGCAAGUCAUUAAGAUGACCCUUAUUCAAGGGAUGGGAACAGGGCUCCAACUCUUGAUGGUGGGGUGUUGAGAAGAAUUUUCAAUGUUUUGGAGUCACCACCCUUUCCUUCUGGAUGUAGUGGAAGGAAGGAAGUGGGGUGGAUUGGCCCCUUAGAGAUUGCAGACAGAAUUCCGAAAACAGCCUCAUGGGAGUGGAGAGCCCACAGGUGAGUGAGAUGUUAUCCCGUGACCCGGUUCCUGAGCCUCAGUCUCCCCACCUGACAAAUAGUAGUCCUGGAUUCAAGCCUGGUUCUCUCUGUUCUGGAGCGCACAGUGGUACCCACGCCACAACACCACCAGGAUCUCCCGCACCUUUAUGAUGGCCCCAUGUUCCUAGAGGUUUAGACAUACACACCUGAGAGUUUCAUUCAUAUUAAUUUGUAUUUAACCAAACCAAGCUCUUGGUUAUCUGCUCUGCCUGCAGAAUAGCCAGAAGCCAUAUGUACCCUGUGGCCAGCAGCUGCCUCAGCACAUCUGUGCAGGGCUCUGUGCUGGGCGCCAAGCCGCAGAGUCAGGGACAGCCUUUCCUCCCCAGGGUCUGGAUUACAUAACCCAGCAGGAACGUCCCCAGGCAGCCCAUACGUGGAGUGCAAAAUGCCCACCCCAGCCAGCAGCAGCUGCUCACUGAAGGCCCCUUGAGGUGACCAGAGGAUGCCGGGAACACGAGCGGGGCGGCAUGGGGAGCCGACCCUCCCAACACCUCCGUGCACCUGCAGAUGCUAAUCCUGGCCGGGAAUCAAGGGGGCCCGCACACCCCCACCUUUCAUGCUGGUUAAUGAGCAAUUUGCUGGAAAUCAGCUCCCUUCCCCCUUUGCGCUGGCCCAUUAGCUGGCAAAUGAGUAAUUUUUGAUCAUUAUUGACUAAUUUCUGAGGCAGCAUUAAUCAAGGGCUUAAUUAUUCGUGCUUAUCCAAUAUAUCGGCCUGUUAUUCUGCAACAGCUCUGGCGGGACUUCUGCUACCAAGUAAGCUUUAAUAGGGCUUCACAGCGCCUGCCAGGGGGAGUUACAACCCCACCUCUGUGUAUAUGGCCCCCCUCCCGGCCAAGUCAGAUACGUUGAUGCCAUCACUAUGGAGGAGCGACACACUUAUUUGGAAUGAGAAUAAGGCUGACUGGUAGAAUCAUCUACAAGGAAAAAGUAGGAUUGACUAAAGUCUUACAACCAGGUGCCACUAGUCCAUUAUGGCGAGUCAACAGAGCGAGGUCAAUGGGCAGUCAGUGUCCUGGGGCUCCCUACAGCUCCUCUCCUGAACAGCGACCCAUGCAGGGAGGGUGGUCAGAAAGAAAACAUGGUAGGCUACAUGGAGGUGUAGGUUUUAGCCCUUGGUGUGACCUUGAAGGAGUGUCUUAACCUCUGUCAUUCAUUCCGUGUUCUGGAAGCAGAGAUGGAACGUUUCCUGUUCACCUGUGAUCCAGGUCAGCAAGUCCCUGCCAGAGUCUCCCUGGGAAGACAGAUAUUAAACAUGCGACUGGAACAAAACUAACUCAACUGUUUUUAUAUUACUGCUUGAUGUGUGCACAUUCCACCAAUGCCUGCCUUCAGCUUCCCGGUGGGUAGAGAAGGAUUGCGAGGGAAAAGUCUGGGUUCACUGGUGUCUCCUUUUCCUUCUGUGUCAUCAUUUCCAGCAUAAAUGGUUGAGUGAUACAGAGAAGCCACAUGAGUAAGAAAUAUAUUGAUGGGAUUCUGUCAUGCACUGAGUGUGUCCCCAAAAUUCAUAUGGUGAAGACUGAUGCAAUGUGACUGCAUUUGGAGAUGGGGUCUUUAAAGAGGCCAUGAAGGUAAAAUGAAGUCCCUGGGGUCCUCAUAAGAAGAGGAGAUGAGGACACACACACGCACAAAGGGAUGACCAUGCAAGGACACAGAGAGGAGACGGCCAUCUACACGCCAAGGAGAGAGGCCUCAGGAGGAACCAGCCCCGCGACACCUGGGUCUUGGCUGUCCAGCCUCCAGGACUGGGAGACAGUACAUUUCUGUGGUUUAAGCUGCCCCGUCUGUGGUAUUUCGCUAUGGCAGCCCAAGGAGACCACGGAUCCUUGUUGUUCAUGUUCUUUGCACACCAUUGCCAUCGUUUUGCAUUUGAAGAGAGUUCUGGCUUAAAUGGAAAGCAUGGGCUCUGGGGCUGUGCCAUGCUUACUUGUCUGCAGACGUAGCACAUUUACCCUGAACUCUCGUUGAGUCUUGCAUCAUCGUGGGUCCCCCAGAAUUCCGUGCUCAUGGGCAUCAUAAACGCUAUACGAGAAUGGGACAACCCAGGAUGGGGUGGACAUCCACACUGCUCACAUCUCCCUUGUCACACACUAGCUCCGCUGUCACAUUGGACUUUAGUUACAAACACGAGUUCAAAGUCAAAUGACUAAGAAUUUCAAGACAGCGACAAACAGAGCAUUAAACACAGGCUGGGGCCCUCUAAGCAGGGGCCGUGUGUGACCACAUGGGUUUCACACCCGGGAGGCCGGCUCUGCAUCCUGGCUGUGAGAACAGAAGCGCCAAGACCUGAAUGCCCUCUUGUGCCCGGGGAGGGAAGUCAUAGCUCCUGGAGGAGGCUGAGAAGCAGGGCAGGACAAAACUGGGGGGACCACGAGGAAACAGAAAGGGAACACAGAGUGACCGCCCUCCCACGCUCUGCUCUGUGCUUCCGGCUGCCGGAGCCACUUUCUUUGAAGCACUUAGAGUUGGGCCUCCUGGUUCCUGCAGCGUGAAAAGUCCCAAGGGACUGACCUGGUCCCCAGGCCUCACUCUCCCCAUCUGUGGAGUGGGGAUGGCCGGGCCCCGCCCUGCCUGACAGUGGAAGGCUGUGGAGGUACUCUGGAAAAGCCAAAAUGUGGCAGACAUGGCAGGAAUCAUUGUGCACAAUCUAAAGUGAAGGGUCUAUCUUCAUCACGUUGUCACCAUGACCAUUAUCUGAACGAGCAGGGGGUGCGCUUCAUAAAACAACCCUUUUGUUCAUAAGGUAACAAUCUCUUUCAACUCCACAGGAAGAUGUUCCUAUACCAAGCGUGGGCUGCCCUUCUUGGCGUAUAUGAGAGAGACCCCUGGUUUCUUCCAGCUGCUGUCCAGGGAUCAUUCUGGGAAAAUGCUCAGACCACAAGCUUGGUGCUUGAGAACGCCCAGGGAUCUGAGAUCCUAGACUAAAAUUCUCUUUUGCGUUUCUAAGUUUAUGCUACCCUGGGCAGCUUCCUUUUAAGGACCUGAAGCCAAAGGGCAAAGACUGUUUUGUUAGUUUUCUGGGGCUGUCAUAACAACUUCCCUCAAACUGCGUGCCUAGAACAACAGGACUUUAUUCUCUCCCAGUUCUGGAGGCUGGAAGUCUGAAAUCGAGGUGUCACAGGGCCACGUUCCCUCCGGAGGCUCCAGGGGAGGGUGCUUCCUGCCUCUCCCAGCUUCUGCGGGCCCCAGGCGUUCCCGGGCUUGUGGCCGCAUGGCUCCCGUCUCUGCUUCCACCAUCACCAGGCCUUCCCUUUGUGUCUGUGUUUUCCUCUCCAUCUCUUAUACUGGUCAGUGGGUUUCGAGCCCAGGCAGGUGAUCCAGGAUGAUCUCAUCUCAAGAUCCUUAACUUAGUCCCGUCUACAAAGACCCUUUCCCCAAAGAAGGUCACAUUUGCAGCUUCCAAGGGUUGGAAUGUGGACUUAACUUUUUGGGGGUCACUAUUCAACCUGCCACAACAGUGACUCGCUGAUGGAUGCUCACAGAAGCCCUGUAAGGAGGACCCCACUCCACUCCCCAGAUCCGCUCCGGCCCCGCCGCUGGUCUCGGCCAAGCCAUGCUGGGCACACUGUGAGGCCUCUCGGGCGAUGUCAGAAACAGCUGUGCUGAGUGUUGCUGGGUAACCCUGCCGGGACAGGGCUUCCCGGGAAUUGCUGCUGGCUCUUAGAAAGGCUUUUACCCACCUCUUCCUUUCUAAAUGCCGCUCAUCAGCCCUCAGCUUUUAGGGACGGCUGCUAAGCAGAGAUGAAGCUGCAAAGUGGUUUCUCAACUCCGCCCCACCAACGAUUAGGGCCGGUCCUUCUCUGUGGUGGGGGCUGUCUUGUGCCUUGUAGGAGGAUCAGCAGCUGCCCUGGCCUUGACCCACGAGACGCCAGGAGCGCCCCGAACCGUGACAAUCAAAAAUGUCUCCAGAUAUCACCGAAUGUCCCCUGGUGGGGGCAGGAUUCCCCCUCCCGUUGAGAACCACUGGCUGCACAAGGAAUGAUAGAAACAGCCUGGCAUCCUGGAGUCGGAGGGAGGGACCAGCACUGCCCAGUCCAGGGACCAUGUGCAUGUUCCAGAAUGUUCUGAGCUUUGGGUUUCCCUAAUGGGGAUAUGAAUACUCCAAGGGUUUAUUGUGAUCGUAACAGGCACUGUGCGUACAAAGGCUGUCACAAAGAAAGCAGGUACUCCACAAAUGCAUUGCAAACUGUGAAUUUGUGUAUUUUCCAAAGUAGGCCGUGUGUAUGCUGGCUUCAUGUGCCUACCCCUCACACAGCGCCAGGCUCCGUGCCCCAUACCAAGGCACCCUACACCCGACACCAAAGGUGCUCACUGGGACCUAUCACCCUGUGUUCUCGAUCGUCUUGUUGAGGGGUGGCCCCGACUCGCCGGUCCCAGACAUCUGGAGGCCUGGCCCCCUGGCUCCAGCUUUGAGAUUUAUGGUGUCCCUUUCUCCAUGCCACGCCACGGGACAUGCAAGGGGCUGAAGAGGAAGCUGAGAAUGGCCUGAGGGGGCUGGAGUUACCUUCCAAUCCUGUGGCUGCCUGACGGCCCCUCCCCAAACUCCUUUUCAAUUUGCAUUUUGAGAAGAUGUUUCUGGAAUGUCGCAGGCUGGCUGGGAGCCACUCUCGUCAGCGUGAAUAACCAGAGUCGUCCUGGGAACGGGCCUCUACCCAAGCAGCACGGGAGACGGGCAGAAGCCUUCUGACCAGGCCAUUCAGGACGACAUUGGACUUGAGCCACAUGCAUCUUAAAUGUCCUCACGCCACUCCAGGGACCGUGGGACACCACGGAUCUGUGUCUUCCAUUGUUCACUCUGGUGGCUGAGUCAAGAAAGGAGAUAGAAUUGUGGAACAUUUCAGGAUUCCUUAAAAAAUCCACUGCAUUGAGAUGUGAUCGGUGUUUUUUCCCUUUUUUUUUCCCUUGCACAGAUAGCAUGAGAUCUACUUUUUUAACAGAAUGUUAUGUGCACAAUAUACUAUUGUUAACUAUUGGCACAGUGAGGUACAGCUGAUCCAGAACAUAUUUGUCUUGUGGAACUGAAACUUCAUACCACUGAACAACUGCCCAUUUAUCCCUCUGGCAGCCGGUAGAAACAGUCUGCUCUCUGUCUCUGCAAGUUUGACUGUUUUAGAUUCCUCAUCCAAGUGGAAUUGUGCAGCCUCGUUCCUUCUGUGACUAGCUUAUGUCACUUAGCAUAAUCUUCUCAGGGGUCAUCCACGUUGAUGAACCUAUGGCAGGAGUCCCUUCUUUUUCAUGGCUGAGUAAUAUUCCAUUGCAUGGGUAAACCACCUUUUCUUUGUCCAUUCAUUCGUUGGUGGGCAUUUUGGUCAUUUCUUUGCUAUUCUGAAGAAUGCUGCAAUGCAUAUGGGGGUGCAGAUAUCUCUUCAAGGUCCUGAUUUGAAUUCUUUUCAAUAAAUACCCAAAAGUGGGAUUGCUGG
rnacentral:lncRNA from 1 species